rnacentral:rRNA from 1 species
GAUACCGCUAGUAUAGGCUUUACACAUGCAAGUAUAGGGAAACGGCAUUUAUGUGCUUGCACAUUUUGACGUCGACCGGCGCACGGGUGAGUAUCGGCGUAUCCACUUCCUCCACUCGGGGAUACCCCGUUGAAAGCGGCUAAUACCCGAUGUUGUCCACAUAUGGCAUUGACGUGGACCAAAGAUUCAUCGGUGGAGGAUGGGGAUGCGUUGAUUAGCUUGUUGGUGCGGGUAACGGCCCACCAAGGUACGAUCAGUAGGGGUUCUGAGAGGAAGGUCCCCCACAUUGGAACUGAGACACGGUCCAAACUCCUACGGGAGGCAGCAGUGAGGAAUAUUGGUCAAUGGACGUAAGUCUGAACCAGCCAAGUAGCGUGCAGGAUUGACGGCCCUAUGGGUUGUAAACUGCUUUUGUUGGGGAGUAAAGGGGCACGCGUGCCUUUUUGCAUUUACCCUUCGAAUAA